GCCCACAUCGCAUAGGGGUAUUGCACAUGAUUGGAAAUCAUGGCCCGAAAGGGUCCGCAGGUUCGAUUCCUGCUGUGGGCG
rnacentral:tRNA from 1 species